UACGGGGGGGGCAAGCGUUGUUCGGAAUUACUGGGCGUAAAGGGCUCGUAGGCGGCCAACUAAGUCGGAUGUGAAAUCCCCAGGCUUAACCUGGGAACUGCAUCCGAUACUGGAUGGCUUGAAUCCGGGAGAGGGAUGCAGAAUUCCAGGUGUAGCGGUGAAAUGCGCAGAUAUCGGGAGGAACACCGGCGGCGAAGGCGGCACUCUGGGCCGGUACUGACGCUGAGGAGCGAAAGCGUGGGGAGCAAACAGG
rnacentral:rRNA from 1 species